AGGGGAGUGAAAAAGAACCUGAAACCGUGUACGUACAAGCAGUGGGAGCACGCUUAGGCGUGUGACUGCGUACCUUUUGUAUAAUGGGUCAGCGACUUAUAUUCUGUAGCAAGGUUAACCGAAUAGGGGAGCCGAAGGGAAACCGAGUCUUAACUGGGCGUUAAGUUGCAGGGUAUAGACCCGAAACCCGGUGAUCUAGCCAUGGGCAGGUUGAAGGUUGGGUAACACUAACUGGAGGACCGAACCGACUAAUGUUGAAAAAUUAGCGGAUGACUUGUGGCUGGGGGUGAAAGGCCAAUCAAACCGGGAGAUAGCUGGUUCUCCCCGAAAGCUAUUUAGGUAGCGCCUCGUGAAUUCAUCUCCGGGGGUAGAGCACUGUUUCGGCAAGGGGGUCAUCCCGACUUACCAACCCGAUGCAAACUGCGAAUACCGGAGAAUGUUAUCACGGGAGACACACGGCGGGUGCUAACGUCCGUCGUGAAGAGGGAAACAACCCAGACCGCCAGCUAAGGUCCCAAAGUCAUGGUUAAGUGGGAAACGAUGUGGGAAGGCCCAGACAGCCAGGAUGUUGGCUUAGAAGCAGCCAUCAUUUAAAGAAAGCGUAAUAGCUCACUGGUCGAGUCGGCCUGCGCGGAAGAUGUAACGGGGCUAAACCAUGCACCGAAGCUGCGGCAGCGACGCUUAUGCGUUGUUGGGUAGGGGAGCGUUCUGUAAGCCUGUGAAGGUGUGCUGUGAGGCAUGCUGGAGGUAUCAGAAGUGCGAAUGCUGACAUAAGUAACGAUAAAGCGGGUGAAAAGCCCGCUCGCCGGAAGACCAAGGGUUCCUGUCCAACGUUAAUCGGGGCAGGGUGAGUCGACCCCUAAGGCGAGGCCGAAAGGCGUAGUCGAUGGGAAACAGGUUAAUAUUCCUGUACUUGGUGUUACUGCGAAGGGGGGACGGAGAAGGCUAUGUUGGCCGGGCGACGGUUGUCCCGGUUUAAGCGUGUAGGCUGGUUUUCCAGGCAAAUCCGGAAAAUCAAGGCUGAGGCGUGAUGACGAGGCACUACGGUGCUGAAGCAACAAAUGCCCUGCUUCCAGGAAAAGCCUCUAAGCAUCAGGUAACAUCAAAUCGUACCCCAAACCGACACAGGUGGUCAGGUAGAGAAUACCAAGGCGCUUGAGAGAACUCGGGUGAAGGAACUAGGCAAAAUGGUGCCGUAACUUCGGGAGAAGG
rnacentral:rRNA from 1 species